GAUGAACGCUGGCGGCGUGCCUAAUACAUGCAAGUCGAGCGAAUGGAUUAAGAGCUUGCUCUUAUGAAGUUAGCGGCGGACGGGUGAGUAACACGUGGGUAACCUGCCCAUAAGACUGGGAUAACUCCGGGAAACCGGGGCGUAAUACCGGAUAACAUUUUGUAACUGCAUGGUUCGAAAUUGAAAGGCGGCUUCGGCUGUCACUUAUGGAUGGACCCGCGUCGCAUUAGCUAGUUGGUGAGGUAACGGCUCACCAAGGCAACGAUGCGUAGCCGACCUGAGAGGGUGAUCGGCCACACUGGGACUGAGACACGGCCCAGACUCCUACGGGAGGCAGCAGUAGGGAAUCUUCCGCAAUGGACGAAAGUCUGACGGAGCAACGCCGCGUGAGUGAUGAAGGCUUUCGGGUCGUAAAACUCUGUUGUUAGGGAAGAACAAGUGCUAGUUGAAUAAGCUGGCACCUUGACGGUACCUAACCAGAAAGCCA
rnacentral:rRNA from 1 species